rnacentral:rRNA from 1 species
AUUGAACGCUGGCGGCAGGCCUAACACAUGCAAGUCGAACGAGUGGCGGACGGGUGAGUAAUGUAUGGGAAACUGCCUGAUGGAGGGGGAUAACUACUGGAAACGGUAGCUAAUAACGCAUACCAUCGGAUGUGCCCAGAUGGGAUUAGCUAGUAGGUGGGGUAAAGGCUCACCUAGGCGACGAUCCCUAGCUGGUUUGAGAGGAUGACCAGCCACACUGGAACUGAGACACUGUCCAGACUCCUACGGGAGGCAGCAGUGGGGAAUAUUGCACAAUGGGCGCAAGCCUGAUGCAGCCAUGCCGCGUGUAUGAAGAAGGCCUUCGGGUUGUAAAGUACUUUCAGCGGUGAGGCGUUACCCGCAGAAUAAGCACCGGCUAACUCCGUGCCAGCAGCCGCGGUAAUAC